UACACGGCGACGUGAUGCUAAUCCCUAAAGCCUCUCUCAGUUCGGAUUGGAGUCUGCAACCCGACUCCAUGAAGCUGGAUUCGCUAGUAAUCGCGCAUCAGCCACGGCGCGGUGAAUACGUUCCCGGGCCUUGUACACACCGCCCGUCAAGCCAUGAAAGCCGGGGGUACCUGAAGUGCGUAACCGCAAGGAGCGCCCUAGGGUAAAACUGGUGAUUGGGGCUAAGUCGUAACAAGGUACC
rnacentral:rRNA from 1 species